GCUCGUGUAGCUCAGUGGUAGAGCACGUCCUUGGUAAGGACGAGGUCAAGGGUUCAAGUCCCUUCACGAGCUCCA
rnacentral:tRNA from 1 species